GAGCCAUCAAGAGCCACUGAGGAGUACAAAGACUUUGCAGAAUGAUGUUUAGUGAACACCUAUUUUGUGCCUGAGGCUGGGGUAUAUGUAACUCCUCAGGAACUCAAAAAAUUGGUAAGUGCACCCUGUAUCCACACCUCUUCACACACCCAGUUUUCUCACUCUGCCUUGCAAACAAGCUCCAAAUGUGCGUUCACANAUCCCCCCAGCUGACCUUGGACCUGUCUGCGUUCAUCCCUUCCUAGUUCAGGUUGUCCCUCCCACUGGCAGCUCCAGGUAUGCCGAGGGAAACAGCAGUUCUUAUAUCCACAUUUGAUUGCAUGCAUCAUAUUGGAUGUGUGUGUCUACAUCGUAAAGUUACACACCAACAAGCUGUAUCCCUGCAAACAAGGAAUGCAUGUAAACUAGACAACUCAGAGAACGUGACAUCAUUUGGGGCCUCUGACUUUGUUAAGACCAGCUUAACUCGCUGGAAGUUUGCAUUUCCCAGAAUGGAAAUCUGGAACGGAAAAUGAAAAGAUGUUCCAAGGUUAUGCUGUAAAACCUCAGAAAGAUCUGGGCCAGUGGACAGACAGGUUUCCUGAUCUGACAGCUGCUCCUCUAUCUGCUGGGACCUGCCAUUUCAAAAUUAUCAUCUGCAGUUGAAUGCCUAAAGAGCAAGCUCACCAGGGAUCGUACAUCCUGGUGUGUUCACAGACGUGCCCUCAGCCUCUAGCACAGCACAGCACUAGACACAGGAAUUCCGAGUUGAAUGAAUGGACCAAACUGUUACGAUACUCAAGGAAACAGAGAACAUCCAAAGAGGCUUGGGAAAUAAAAAUAAUCAAAGAGACGCAUCAGCAAAUGAAAAAAGUGUCCAAGAUUAAGAGGGAAGAAGGUGCUUACUUUUUUUUGUUUUUUUUUUUGUUUGUUUAUUUGUUUGUUUCCUAA
rnacentral:lncRNA from 1 species